rnacentral:rRNA from 1 species
CAGCAGCCGCGGUAACACCGAGGGUGCGAGCGUUAAUCGGAUUUACUGGGCGUAAAGCGUGCGUAGGCGGCUUCUUAAGUCGGAUGUGAAAUCCCUGAGCUUAACUUAGGAAUUGCAUUCGAUACUGGGAAGCUAGAGUAUGGGAGAGGAUGGUAGAAUUCCAGGUGUAGCGGUGAAAUGCGUAGAGAUCUGGAGGAAUACCGAUGGCGAAGGCAGCCAUCUGGCCUAAUACUGACGCUGAGGUACGAAAGCAUGGGGAGCAAACAGGAUUAGAUACCCCAGUAGUCCCUGUCUCUUAUAC